rnacentral:rRNA from 1 species
GAUGAACGCUGGCGGCGUGCCUAAUACAUGCAAGUCGAACGCUGGAGAUCUAGCUUGCUAGAUCGAAGGAGUGGCGAACGGGUGAGUAAUACAUAAGCAACCUACCCACGAAGACUGGGAUAAUCUCUGGAAACGGGGACUAAUACCGGAUAGGUAAUCGGAAGGCAUCUUCUGGUUAUUAAAGGUCAAAAACACUGUUGGAUGGGCUUAUGGCGCAUUAGUUAGUUGGUGAGGUAACGGCCCACCAAGACGAUGAUGCGUAGCCGGCCUGAGAGGGUGAACGGCCACAUUGGGACUGAGACACGGCCCAGACUCCUACGGGAGGCAGCAGUAGGGAAUUUUCGGCAAUGGGGGCAACCCUGACCGAGCAACGCCGCGUGAGUGAAGACGGCCUUCGGGUUGUAAAGCUCUGUUGUAAGGGAAGAACGGUAGAUAGAGAAUAUCUAAGUGACGGUACCUUACCAGAAAGCCACGGCUAACUACGUG